GACGAACGCUGGCGGCGUGCUUAACACAUGCAAGUCGAACGGAAAGGCCCUGCUUGCAGGGUACUCGAGUGGCGAACGGGUGAGUAACACGUGGGUGAUCUGCCCUGCACUUCGGGAUAAGCCUGGGAAACUGGGUCUAAUCCCGAAUAGGGGCCAUUUUUGGUGUGAUGGUUGGAAAGUUUUUUCGGUGUAGGAUGAGCUCGCGGCCUAUCAGCUUGUUGGUGGGGUAAUGGCCUACCAAGGCGGCGACGGGUAGCCGGCCUGAGAGGGUGGACGGCCACAUUGGGACUGAGAUACGGCCCAGACUCCUACGGGAGGCAGCAGUGGGGAAUAUUGCACAAUGGGCGCAAGCCUGAUGCAGCGACGCCGCGUGGGGGAUGACGGCCUUCGGGUUGUAAACUCCUUUCGCUAGGGACGAAGCUUUUUGUGACGGUACCUAGAUAAGAAGCACCGGCUAACUACGUG
rnacentral:rRNA from 1 species